UGACGCCCCGCUCAGUUGGCGUCCGGACGUCGGAGGUGGAGGUUGUUGUCUCCGAGGUCGCGAAUCCUUGCGAACCCCCCCCCCCCUCUGCGUCCCGAGCUUGGAGAGGGAGGCGUCCGUUGGGCCUUUCUCUCCGUCCUGCGAAGGCUUGACGGCCUGCGAGGCCCGGGUUUGCGGGAGGCGCGCGCUCCGCCCAAGGAGGCCUGGCCGCAGGCGCCAUGUCCAACUACGUGAACGACCUGUGGCCCGGCUCGCCGCAGAAGGACUCGCCCGCCACCUCGCGGUCCGGCCGCUCCAGCCGCCUGUCGUCGCGGUCGCGGAGCCGCUCCUCGUCCGCGAGCUCCCGGCCCGACUCGCGCGGCUCCAGCCGUUCGUCGUCCGGGAGCCGCAGCCGGCCCCGCAGGCGCAGCAGGUCGCGCUCUCGCUCCAGGAGGCGCCACCAGCGCAAGUACCGGCGCUACUCGCGCUCCUACUCGCGGAGCCGCUCGCGCUCCCGCGGCCGCCGGUACCGGGAGAGGCGCUACGGGCCGCCGCGCAGGGCUCGCCGCUCGCCCUCGCCCUACCGCUCGCGGAGCAGGUCGCGCUCGCGCGGCCGGUCGCACCAGCGGAGGUCGUACUACGCCAUCGCGCGGGGGCGGCGCUACUACGGCUUCGGCCGCACCGUUUACCCCGAGGAGCAUGGCCGGUGGCGGGACAGGUCCAGGACCAGGUCGCGCAGUAGGACGCCGUUUCGUCUAAGUGAAAAAGAUCGAAUGGAGCUAUUAGAAAUAGCAAAGGCCAAUGCAGCAAAAGCAUUAGGAACAACUAACUUUGACUUGCCAGCUAGUCUGAGAACUGUUCCUGUAGCUAAAGAAACAAGCCAUGGAGCAGGUGUACCAAGUAAUGGUGUAAAGUUUGAGGUAAGUAUUUCUAACUAUCAGAUCAUCUUCUGAAAAGCCACUUCCAGAAAGAUCUGAUCAGCCAUUCUUUAUCCUAGGCUACACUUCUUGGGAAGUCUAGCUGUAUAAAAUUUUCCAAUAACAAAAUAUAUUCAUGAUAUAAUAGUAUCAACACCCAUGAAAUUGGGAGAUGAUUUUAUUCAAGUCCUUUCAUAACACCAUGAAUAUAUUAUUGCUGGUAUUUUGAAGAUUUCUGUGUUAUCAAAGUUUUCCCUACUCAAGUCUUUAUAGACAAAAGAGUUUUCUGUAGCUUUCAUUUGCAGCAUUAUGUUCCCACAAAUCUGUGCUCAACAUACAGUAUAGUUUAUCUGCUUUAUUUCUGUCUUAUAGAAAUCAUGAAUGUGGUCUCCAGACAAUGAUGAAGAAAAUCUGUUGCUGUCGGAAAAGCUAACAGAAGAUGGAACUAAAAAUCCCAGUGAGAAAUCUUCCCAGCAAAAAAACAUAGCUUUUAGCUCUAAUAAUUCUGUAGCAAAGCCAGUACAGAAAACAGCUAAAGCUGCUGAAGAGACAUCUUCACGAUCGCCAAAAAUAGAUAAGAAAAAAAGUCCAUAUGGACUAUGGGUACCUGUCUAAAA